GUGCUCGCUUCGGCAGCACAAAUACUAAAAUUGGAACGAUACAGAGAAGAUUAGCAUGGCCUCUGCGCAAGGAUGACACACAAAUUCGUGAAGCGUUCCAUAUUUUU
ensembl:snRNA U6 U6 spliceosomal RNA